GGAAGGUUUAAUUCCGAGGGACCUUAACAAGGCUGCAAGCUCUAAAAUUGUGAGGCUACCAUCGGAAUCCAUGUCGAAUCGAGCGAAAAUGUCCUUUAAUUGGUUGAAUUGUUCGAUGCAAAUUGCUGCUGUUGCCGCCAUGUUCACGUUCAAUGUGUUAUAUGUUCCUAACACAAUCUCACCGUGCCCAAAAACCAAAUAAUAAUAAUCAUAAGACAAUGGUAAUGAUAUUAUUAUAUGGAUAAUGGUAAUAAUGAUAGCAAAUGGUGUUGCUGUUCUGGGGGUGGUGGUGGUACCGCGGCAGUUUGAGCCGCGGUGGGGAGACGAAAAUUGAUAUUGAUUGGUGGUUUUGGUUUUGGAGGGAAGAAUUGCGGAGAGGAGGUGUUUUCUG
rnacentral:misc_RNA from 1 species